rnacentral:lncRNA from 1 species
UAUUUUGUUAAAGUUAUAAAUAACUCGGAAACAUUCCUUUCCAGCCACAGAAUUUUCCAAAAAUUUCACAUUUUUAACUCAGUCUAAAAAAUCAAAGUCUGAGAUUUUUCGUAAAAGACCCGUGAAACGAUCAAGAUAUCAAUGAAAACCGGAGAAGACCAAAACUUGGUGAUCUCUGCUUCUUUACUGUACCCUUAAUGUGUCUUUCUUUUCCAGAAUGACAGUAUGACCCCGUCACCUGUCAAACGCAUCCCUUCGACGCGGCCACCAUUCACACUGGGUGAGCUGAAGAGAGCAGUACCCCCGCACUGCUUUCAACGAUCCCUGCCGCGCUCCAUGUAUUACGUUACAACGGACGUAGGUGCUAUACUCUUGUCUACCUAUCUCGCCACAUUCAUUCCUCUCCUGCCACCAUUUCUUCAAGUGAUAGCUUGGCCACUUCAUUGGACAGUCGCUGGCAGUUUCAUGCUCGGUGCUUGGCUCAUUGGUCAUGAUUGUGGUCAUCAUGCGUUCAGUGACUACAAGUGGCUUAAUGACGUCAUCGGAUUUGUCCUUCAUUCGGUAAUGCUUACGCCUUAUUUUUCGUGGAAAUACUCCCACACGUCGCACCACGCUAACACUGGAUCCACAGAACGACAGGUCGUGUUCUUGGUGAAAAAAAAGGACGCCCUCCCGUGGCAUGCUAGAUACACAGACAACCCCCCUCUUCGGGUCCUCAACUUAACGAUAUCCCUCUUCAUCGGAUGGCCAUUGUACUUAACUUUCAACGUUUCCGGGCGCACUUACGAUUCCUUUGCGAACCAUUUCUACCCUCAGGGUCCCAACUUUACGCGCCGCCAGCGUGCCCAAGUGCUCCUCUCUGAUUUGGGCGUCACGUCGGUCGCUUAUGCUAUCUACCGGCUGACACUCUCAACUAGUCUAUCAUGGAUACUCUGCAUCUAUGGUCUACCGCUUCUCUUCGCCAACGCAUGGAUCGUUGCAAUAUCCUACCUAAACCACAUCCACCCCGCACUACCCCACUACGACGAGGGUGAGUGGGACUGGUUGCGAGGAACUAUGUCCACCGUCAACAGGGACUUCGGGUGGUGGAACUACUUUUCCCACCAUAUUACGGACGGCCAUGUUGCGCACCACUUGUUCCCGACGAUGCCGCAUUAUCAUGUGAUGGAGGCCACAGAGGUGAUAAAGCCAAUUUUGGGCGAGUAUUAUUUGUUGGACCGGACGCCAGUUUGGAGGGCCUUGUACCGAGAGACUAAGGAGUGCCUGUUUGUGGCACCAGAGAAGGUUCGGAAAGGAGUGCAUUGGUUUGGGAGUCUAGUAGAAGAGAGGGCAGAGUGAAGUUAAGGCAUGGUCACAUCUAAUAUACUGAACUAUACCUGUACCUGUACUAUAAUGCUGAUGAAUGAUAUUUUUCACGAAAAAGGAAGUGCCGCGCUAAGUCAGAAUUAGAUUUUAUACUCGCAAUUAAGAAACAAACUGCCAUUAUAUUAUUUUCUGAGAAAUAGUCAUAUUGUACAAAUUUAUGUUUAAAAUAGAUCUUAUUGUGUCAUCGGAACUCAAGGCAUCAAUUUUGUAUGGAGGCAUCAUUUUGCUCAUUAAUCCAAAACACUUACCAGGGUUUGCGACAGUGCAGGAUUUUCUGUUGGACUUUUUAUGAUUUGUCUCGGAACUUUCAAGAAUAUCCUUGGAGCAAUUUGUGCGAAAGCUAUUAAUUUUUUUUUUAACUAAAAAAGUAAAAAAAUCAAUAAAUAGCGAAGAUUUUGAAACGCCAAUUGAUGUCUGUAGAUGUGUAGUCUUAUUAUCGAUCUAUUUUUUCAAUUUGGUGUCACGAUAUUGCACAGCAAUAUUAAAUUCUUUGCUUGACAUUAAUACUGUUUCCAAUAUACUUGUGUGCAUAGUAAAAAGCGAAGGUUGGGUCUUCAUUACUGUGAAGGAAAUUGCUCUAUCAUUUGACUGCGCAGCAGAUAUUGACAAACACAAUCUCAUUUUACGUGAAAUUUGAUGGAAAAAUCAAAAUGAGAUGCAUGUCAGUAAUUUUUCUAAACUCAAAAGUUCCAAAAUGCAAUUUCUACAAUUUAUGUUAAAAAUCUUGAACAAACCAUGAAUAAGCGCCUUAGCUUUUAUUAAUAUUAAUAAGCGUAUAUGUUUCUUUUAAAAGUGUAAGUGAUAAAGUUCCUAUCAAAAUAUAUAUCUUCUAAUGUUUGCAAUGCUGAAAUGCAGUGGCGUGGCGUGAGCAAUCGAUUAUCGAUAUUUCCCCAUUUUAAGCUAUAGUAAAGAAUCGAUUAUGAAGGUGUUCGUUGCGAACACCCUGGAUAUCGAUUAUUUUCCAUAGGUUUAAAUGGCAGAUCAAGCGAUAUAUUGCAAAGCACGCCACGCCACUGCGGAAAUGUAAGAAAAGACGUUACCAUGUUAAUACUUGUUUGAUGACUCAACCCCGAACUCAACGCUGGGGUUUGAGUUGCAGGGCCAGCGUUCGAAUUCCUUUCAACCUGCUUUCAGUGUAUUUUCCGAAGGAAAAAUGCACUAUUGCGUUCUCCCUCAUGGUGGGACCUAGGUCCCACCAUGAGUUCUUUUACGUACAUCUUUCGUACAAGUAAAAUUUACCAGUUUUAAUUUUGUUUUACAAAUUACAUUACAAGAUGUACUACUAAGGUCCCUAAUGUUGUUCACCAAGUUCAAUGUAUCAAUUAUUUUAUUAUUUUCCACCAC